ensembl:lncRNA
GAGGAGGCUAUCCGCCCACAGUACGUCUGCCCAGACAUGGUUGCCAGAUUGAGCUUACUUGAUUUUGCUAUUUAUAAAAUGAAAAAUGAAAUGGGACAAAUUUUAUGGUUGAUAAUUUUGUCUAGGCUUCAUUUGGUUAUUAUAAAUUGGGAUAGUUUAGCGUAAAUUGGACGGGUUUUAAAUUAUCCCCACUGUUUUGGAAGCAAGUCAAGGCAACCCCGAUGAAAUGAAACCAAAAAUUAUCGGUACACGGCCACGUUCACUUUUAAACACCCGACCAGUUUUUGCUACUGACCUGAACACAAGUAACUUCCAUGUGUUUGGCUACAAUACCCUACUCACAGUGAAGACACUGCUUUUUGAGAAAUGGCCUCCACAGUGACCACAGAUGCUCAUGGAGUCAGGGUGGUGACCCAGGUCAUUCCUCUGGUGAGUCCAGAGACUGUCCAGUGUCCCGGUCAGAACAAAGACAGCAAGACUAAAGUACCUGAAGCCCCGUACAUGACCAGGAUGUUCCUGAAGGGAGAGCCUGUAGCAUUAGGGACUGUGCAGAUCAUGAUUGGGAUCGUGAUGAUAGCUUUGGGAGCAGUUACUUGGUUCACACAAAUUCUGUAUGGUGAAAUCCCUCUGGGCCUUGGACUAUCAUUUAUCUUCUCUGGAUCUGUAACCUUGGGUGCACACAAGGGAACCUGUCCUCCAAUUAUUAAAAGCACAAUUGCCCUGAACAUCAUCAGUGCUGUACUUGCCAUGUCCGGCAUCUGCUACUUCUGCUUUGCACUUGCCAUAAAAGCUCAUUUGGAUGCUUGUAGUGAUGAUCAUGAGAAAAAGUUCUACUACACCGGCUACUAUGACUGCCAGUUUGCAGCUAGGCGUCUGCAGAACUUAAUAAGCGGAAUAAAGGGCAUACUUUUGAUUUUAUCCGUGCUGGAGGUGUGCGUGUGUACCACAACUGUUGUCUUUUCCUGCAAGGCCAACCUACAUGCAUCUGGGACUAAAAUGGAUGCGGUGGUGGUGCAGGGAAGAUGCAGCAGCCAAGAAGCUCUGCUGAACAGUGAAUUGGCUUCACCUCCAGCCUAUGAGCCUUGAGUGAACCCAUCCUAUGAAAGCAAUUUAUGGUUUAGAGUACAGUAUAGUAUAACAUAGUUUAAAGUAGUGCUUGCACCUUUUAGACACUAAUGUAAGAGUCUCAGAUAUUACACUUAAUUUUUUUCAUGUAUUCUGCUUUUGACGUUGCACCUUUGCACAAAUUUAUGCCACAUUGAAAAUGCCUGCAGUUAUACUGAAUACUUGUAUUCUUCAAUAAAUGCUAAAGUGCACUUAU